CGGAGACGGACGAAACCCAAAGCCUUCCAAUGCAUUAAGGCCCGGGCCUCGGGAAAACGGGGCUUCUAAUGGAAGGGAAAACUGGCCCAGGCGGACAAGUUAGGCAGGAAAGGUUGGGGGAUGACGUCAAAGUCAUCAUGGCCCUUAUGUUCCAGGGCGACACACGUGCUACAAUGGACCGCUACAGAGGGCUGCAAUACCGCAAGGUGGAGCCAAUCCCUAAAGGCGGUCUCAGUUGGGAUCGGAGUCUGCAACUCGACUCCGUGAACGCGGAAUCGCUAGUAAUCGUGGAUCAGCCAUGCCACGGUGAAUACGUUCCCGGGCCUUGUACACACCGCCCGUGAAUCACUAGU
rnacentral:rRNA from 1 species